rnacentral:rRNA from 1 species
UACGGAGGGUGCUAGCGUUGUUCGGAAUCAUUGGGCGUAAAGGGCGCGUAGGCGGUUCGGCAAGUCAGGUGUGAAAUCCCCCGGCUUAACUGGGGAAUUGCGCUUGAAACUGCCGAGCUUGAGUACGGGAGAGGGUAGCGGAAUUCCGAGUGUAGAGGUGAAAUUCGUAGAUAUUCGGAGGAACACCGGUGGCGAAGGCGGCUACCUGGACCGAUACUGACGCUGAGGCGCGAAAGCGUGGGGAGCAAACAGG